rnacentral:rRNA from 1 species
UCUGGGCGUAAGCGUGCGCAGGCGCGUUGUGCAAGACCGAUGUGAAAUCCCCGGGCUUAACCUGGGAAUUGCAUUGGUGACUGCACGGCUAGAGUGUGUCAGAGGGGGGUAGAAUUCCACGUGUAGCAGUGAAAUGCGUAGAGAUGUGGAGGAAUACCGAUGGCGAAGGCAGCCCCCUGGGAUAACACUGACGCUCAUGCACGAAAGCGUGGGGAGCAAACAGGAUUAGAUACCCUGGUAGUCCACGCCCUAAACGAUGUCAACUAGUUGUUGGGGAUUCAUUUCCUUAGUAACGUAGCUAACGCGUGAAGUUGACCGCCUGGGGAGUACGGUCGCAAGAUUA